AAACUUACCUGACGCGAGAGGCACCUUGAUCAACUAGGAGGUCCUCUCAGGAUGAGGCCCUUUCAUUGCACUUCGACUGGGUUGACUCCUGCGAUUACCCCUAAUGUGGGUAACUCGAGCGUAUAAUUUCUGGUAGUGGGGACCUGCGUUCGCGCUCGUCCCCU
rnacentral:snRNA from 2 species